GGGGAUGUGGUUCAGUGGGAAAAUAUGUUUGCAGAGCGUGUACAAGGUCCUGGGUUCAAUUCCAGCAUAACCA
rnacentral:tRNA from 1 species